rnacentral:lncRNA from 1 species
UAAACCAUGUUUACGUUGUAGUACCCAUGUCAUUAUACACAUUUGUGUCCUCAUAAACCAUAUAUACCUGUGUGUGUCGUAUGUGUGUCGUAUAUGUGUGUCUGUGUGUGUGUGAGUCUGAGUGUGUGUGACUGUGUGUAAGUGAGUGUGUGUGUGUGUGUGUGUGUGUCUGUGCACGUGUGUGUGUGUGUGUCUGCGAGUGUGUGAAUGUGAGUGAGUCUGUGUGUCUGUGAGUGUGAGAGUGACUGUGUGUGUGUCUGUGUGUGUGUGUGUGUGUGUCUCUGUGAGAGUGACUGUGUGUGUGUGUGUGUGUGUGUGUGUGUGUGUGUGUGUGUGUGUGUGUGUGUGUGUGUGUGAGUGAGACUCUUAUCCUGUGUCCAGCAUCAGUGUGCUGGUUUCACUGCCGCUCUGUAUAUUUCUACCAGACUAAAUAGUUAAACGGCCCCUAAAACUCACUGAUUAGUGAUCAGGAUUAUGUCCUCUCUGUGUAAAGUCUGCUAAGACUGACGCAAAACCGAACCACCAUUAUAGUCGAAGAAACCUUCCUCAUUUCUAUUCAUUCCUAUCCAACUGAAAUAAAAUGAUUUUGUUUAUAAAUAUGUGUGGAUUUAAUUUUUUUUUGGUU